CGGCGGCGUACCGGGAAGUCGCUGAAGACAAAGCGAUGGUAGUUCUGGAGGCCUCGCUCCGGGGCCGACCCGAGGCCACAGUUCCUCCGCGGUAGACCGGACUUGGGUGACGGGCUCCGGGCUCCCGAGGUGAAGAGCAUCGGGGGCUGAGGGAUGGAAGGGUCUAAGACGUCCAACAACAGCACCAUGCAGGUGAGCUUCGUGUGCCAGCGCUGCAGCCAGCCCCUGAAACUGGACACGAGUUUCAAGAUCCUGGACCGUGUCACCAUCCAGGAACUCACAGCUCCAUUACUUACCACAGCCCAGGCGAAACCAGGAGAGACCCAGGAGGAAGAGACUAACUCAGGAGAGGAGCCAUUUAUUGAAACUCCUCGCCAGGAUGGUGUCUCUCGCAGAUUCAUCCCCCCAGCCAGGUGCCUACUACUUCUCAGCCCCCAUUCCUUGCCAAAGGCUAGUAGAAUUUUAAUUAAAUCCAGGAAUCGAGACCUGGAGCCAGGUGAUAGAGACGCAUCAUCACCUAGCCUUUUGGCCCUUUCAGAAAAGAUGUAUUCCCUUAUACCUGGCCCGUCACCUUCCAGUAUGGAUUUUUUCCUGUAGCUGUUCACAGAGUGGGAAAGGAUAGUAGCUUUAAUGAUGA
rnacentral:sRNA from 1 species